CCUACGGGUGGCAGCAGUGGGGAAUAUUGGGCAAUGGGCGCAAGCCUGACCCAGCGACGCCGCGUGAAGGAAGAAGGCUUUCGGGUUGUAAACCUCUUUUCUGAGGGACGAAGAAAGUGACGGUACCUCAGGAAUAAGCCACGGCUAACUACGUGCCAGCCGCCGCGGUACUACGUAGGUGGCAAGCGUUAUCCGGAUUUAUUGGGUGUAAAGGGCGUGUAGGUGGGAAAGCAAGUCAGAUGUGAAAACUCGGGGCUCAACCCUGAGACUGCAUUUGAAACUGUUUUUCUUGAGUGCUGGAGAGGCAAUCGGAAUUCCGGGUGUAGCGGUGAAAGGCGUAGAUAUACGGAGGAACACCAGUGGCGAAGGUGGAUUGCUGGACAGUAACUGACGCUGAGGCGCGAAAGCGUGGGGAGCAAACAGGAUUAGAUACCCUAGUAGUC
rnacentral:rRNA from 1 species